CCUACGGGAGGCAGCAGUGAGGAAUAUUGGUCAAUGGGCGAGAGCCUGAACCAGCCAAGUCGCGUGAAGGAUGACGGCCCUACGGGUUGUAAACCUCUUUUGUCGGGGAGCAAAAGACGCCACGCGUGGCGUUCCGAGAGUACCCGAAGAAAAAGCAUCGGCCAACUCCGUGCCAGCAGCCGCGGUAAUACGGAGGAUGCGAGCGUUAUCCGGAUUUAUUGGGUUUAAAGGGUGCGCAGGCGGAAGAUCAAGUCAGCGGUAAAAUUGAGAGGCUCAACCUCUUCGAGCCGUUGAAACUGGUUUGCUUGAGUGAGUGAGAAGUAUGCAGAAUGCGUGGUGUAGCGGUGAAAUGCAUAGAUAUCACGCAGAACUCCGAUUGCGAAGGCAGCAUACCGGCGCUCAACUGACGCUCAUGCACGAAAGUGUGGGUAUCGAACAGGAUUAGAUACCCGAGUAGUC
rnacentral:rRNA from 1 species